rnacentral:misc_RNA from 1 species
GAUGAAGAACGUAGCAAAAUGCGAUAAGUAAUGUGAAUUGCAGAAUUCAGUGAAUCAUCGAAUCUUUGAACGCACAUUGCGCCCGCUGGUAUUCCGGCGGGCAUGCCUGUUCGAGCGUCAUUUCAACCCUCAAGCCCCCGGGUUUGGUGUUGGGGAUCGUCUCUGCCCUUCUGGGCGGUGCCGCCCCCGAAAUACAUUGGCGGUCUCGCUGCAGCCUCCAUUGCGUAGUAGCUAACACCUCGCAACUGGAACGCGGCGCGGCCAUGCCGUAAAACCCCAACUUCUGAAUGUUGACCUCGGAUCAGGUAGGAAUACCCGCUGAACUUAAGCAUAUCAAUAAGCGGAGGA